rnacentral:misc_RNA from 1 species
GAUGAAGAACGCAGCGAAAUGCGAUAAGUAAUGUGAAUUGCAGAAUUCAGUGAAUCAUCGAAUCUUUGAACGCACAUUGCGCCCGCCAGUAUUCUUGCGGGCAUGCCUGUUCGAGCGUCAUUACAACCCUCAGGCCCCCGGGCCUGGCGUUGGGGAUCGGCGGAGCCCCCCGUGGGCACACGCCGUCCCCCAAAUGCAGUGGCGGUCCCGCCGCAGCUUCCAUCGCGUAGUAGCUAACACCUCGCGACUGGAGAGCGGCGCGGCCACGCCGUAAAACACCCAACUCUUCUGAAGUUGACCUCGAAUCAGGUAGGAAUACCCGCUGAACUUAAGCAUAUCAAUAAGCGGAGGA